rnacentral:rRNA from 1 species
UACGAAGGGGGCUAGCGUUGCUCGGAAUCACUGGGCGUAAAGGGUGCGUAGGCGGGUCUUUAAGUCAGAGGUGAAAUCCUGGAGCUCAACUCCAGAACUGCCUUUGAUACUGAGGAUCUUGAGUUCGGGAGAGGUGAGUGGAACUGCGAGUGUAGAGGUGAAAUUCGUAGAUAUUCGGAAGAACACCAGUGGCGAAGGCGACUUACUGGACACAUAUUGACGCUGAGGUGCGAAAGCGUGGGGAGCAAACAGG